UACGUAGGGUGCGAGCGUUACUCGGAAUUACUGGGCGUAAAGCGUGCGCAGGCGGUUCGCUAAGACCGAUGUGAAAUCCCCGGGCUUAACCUGGGAACUGCAUUGGUGACUGGCGGGCUAGAGUAUGGCAGAGGGGGGUAGAAUUCCACGUGUAGCAGUGAAAUGCGUAGAGAUGUGGAGGAAUACCGAUGGCGAAGGCAGCCCCCUGGGCCAAUACUGACGCCCAUGCACGAAAGCGUGGGGAGCAAACAGG
rnacentral:rRNA from 1 species